CUGUAAAGGUUAAUAAUAAAGCCACCAGUAUACCCACAAUCCAGCUUCAGAAAUCAAGUAUUAAGGUAACAUUUGCCAUCACCUAUUUCUCUCCCCCAUCUGAUAUUUCUCCCUAGCUGCACAACCAAGAUCCAUGACUUGUAACCUGCCAGACAAGAAAAUUGGCCUGAGUAAUCAUGUAACUCUAUGAGCCAUAUUUUGAACCUGUCAUCUAUCAACCAGAAAAACCAGGAAGAAAUUUAAUCCCUGAACAGACAAACAAUGAGCUCUGAAAUUGAAUCGGUAAUAAACAAUCUACUAACCAAAAAAACUCCAGGACAAGACAGAUUCACAGUCGAAUACUACCAGAUUUGCAAAGAAGAGCUGAUACCAUUUUUACUGAUACUAUUCCAAAAAAUUGAGGAGGAAGCCACUCAUUCUAUGAAGCCAGCAUCAUAAUGAUACCAAAACCUGGCAGAGACACAACAAAGAAAUAAAACUUCAGGCCAAUGUUGUUGAUGACCACUGAUGCAAAAAUACUGAACAAAAUACUAGCAAACCAGAUCUAGCAGCACAAAAGUUUAUCUACCAUGAUCAAGUAGGCUUUAUUCGUGGGAUGCAAGGUUGGUUUGAUAUACACAAAUCAAUAAAUGUGAUUCAUCACAGAAACAAAACUGAAGACAAAAAAGCACAUGAUUAUUUCAAUAUAUACAUAAAAAGGUUUUGAUAAAAUUCAACAUCCUUUCAUGUUAAAAAACCUUCAAUAAACCAGGUAGUGAAUGAAGAUAUUUUGAAACAAUAAGAGCCAUCUAUGACAAAGCUACAACCAACAGCAUACUGAAUGGGCAAAAGCUGGAAUCAUUCCCCUUGAAAACUGGCACAAGACAAGUAUGUCGUCUCUCACCACUUCUAUUCAACAUAGUAUUGGAAGUCCUAGUCAGAGCAAUCAGGCAAGAGAAAGAAAUAAAAGGCAUUCAAAUAGGAUGAGAGAAAGUCAAACUAUCUCUGUUUGCAGAUGACAUGCUUCUAUAUCUAGAAAACCCCAAAGUCUCUGCUUAAUAGCUCCUUCAGCUGACAAACAACUUCAACAAAGUUUCAGGAUACAAAAUCAACAUACAGAAAUUAGUAGCAUUUCUAUACAUCAGCAACAUCAAAACCAAGAGCCAAAUCAAGAGCACAAUCCCAGUGACAAUUGUCAUAAAAAGAGUAAAAUACCUAGGAAUACAGUUAACCAGGGAAGUGAAAGAUCCUUAUAAGAAAAAUUACAAAACACUGUUCAAAGAAAUCAGAGAUGACACAAAAAGCAGACAAACAUUUCAUGCUCAUGAAUAGGAAGACUCAAUAUUGUUACAAUGGCUAUACUGCCCAAAGCAACUUAUAGAUUCAGUGCUAUUCCUAUCAAACUACCAAUGACAUUUUCUUCACAGAAUUAGAAAAAAUUAUUUUAAAAUACAAAUGGAACCAAAAAAGAGCCCAAAUAGCCUAGGUAAUCAAAAGAACAAAGCUGGAGGCAUUAUGUUACCCAACUUCAAACUGUACUACAGGGCUACAGUAACCCAAACAGCAAGGUACUGGUAUAAAAAUAGACACAUAGACUAACAAAACAGAAUAGAGAACCCAGAAAUAAUGCCAUACACCUACAACCAUCUGAUCUUUGACAAAGCUUACAAAAACAAGCAGUGGGGAAAGGCCCCAUAUGCAAAAAAUAGCGCUGGGAUAACUGGGUAACUAUAUGCAGAAGAUUGAAACUGGACCCCUUCUUACACCAUCUAUGAAAAUCAACUCAAGACGGAUUAAAGAUUAAAUGUAAAACCCAUCACUAUACAAACCCUGGAAGAUAACCUAGGCAAUACCAUUUAUGGCAUAGGAACUGGCAAAGAUUUCAUGAUCAAUGCACCAAAAGUAACUGCAACAAAAGCAAAAAUUGACAAAUUGGAUCUAAUUAAACUAAAGAGCUUCUGCACAGCAAAGAAACUACCAAGAGAGUAAACAGUCUACAGAAGGGAAAAAUACAGUUGCAAACUAUGUAUCUGACAAAGAUCUAAUAUCCAGCAUUUACAAAGAACUUAAACAAAUUUACAAACAGCAACGAAAAUCCCAUUAAAAAGUGGGCAAAGGACAAGAACAGACACUUUUUAAAAUAAGGCCUACAUGCGGCCAACAAGUAUAUAAAAAUGCUUAAUAUCACUAAUAAUUAGAGAAAUGGAAUCAAAACCACAAUGAGAUACCAUCUCAACCUGUCAGAAUGGCUAUUACUAAAGUAAAAAAAUAACAGAUGCUGAUGAAGUUGUGGAGAAAAAGGAACACUUAUACACUGCUGGUGGAAGUGUAAAUUAGUUCAACUAUUGUGGAAAGCAGUGUGGUGAUUCCUUUUAAGAACUGAAAACAGAACUACCAUUCAAUCUAGCAAUCUAAUUACUGGGUAUAUACCCAAAGGAAUAUAAAUUGUUCUACCAUAAAGACACCUACAUGUGUAUGUUUACUGCAGCACUAUUCACAAUAGCAAAAACAUAGAAUCAACCUGAAUGUCCAUCAAUGGCAAACUGGAUAAAGAAAAUAUGGUACAUAUGUAAGAUGGAAUAUUGUGCAGCCAUAAAAAAAGAACAAGACCAUGUUCUUUGCAGGAACAUGUUUGGAGCUGGAGGUCAUUAUCCUUAGCAAGCAACCACAGGAACAGAAUACCAAAUAUAACAUGUUCUCACUUAUAAGUGGGAGCUAGACAUAGAGUACCUAUGGACACAAAGAAGGGAAUAACAGAUACCAGGGCAUAGCUGAGAGUCAAGGGUAGGCGGAGGAAUAGGAUCAGAAAAAAUCACUAUUGGGUACUAGGCUUAGUACCUGGGUGAUGCAAUAAUCUGUACACCAAACCCCCAUGACACAAGUUUAUCUAUAUGACAAACGACACAUGAACCCCUGAACCUAAAACAAAAUUUUAAAAAAGAAGCAACACUCUCAAAUAUUUAUAGCACAUGUGUUUAGAUGGAGAUGCCACGAGUUUUCUUAUUUUUCAUAUAUUCUAAUUUUUAAUAAUUAUUAUUUAUCACUUGUCAGAAAAAUGAAGUAAAAAGGAGGGAAAAGAGAAAAUAAAUACACUAGAAAUCAAGUAUUAUAGACAGGUAUUUCUUGAUGUUUUCUGAGUAUUCACUAUGUGUGGGUGUUGUUUGAAGUGCGUUAGUCAAAUGAAAUUGCCUAAUUCUCAUAAUUAGCCAAUGAAAUCAUUAUUAUUAUCUUCCAAGGUUACACCGCAAAUAAAUGGCAUAUCUGGAAUUUGAAGCUUGGUCUAACUCAGAAUCUGUAGUCUUAACUUCCAGUUAAGGAUAAGGAAGGGAGUAACAGCUUCUGAAAUUAAAAAAAAAAUUCAUUCAUAAAUUCAAACAGUAUUUAAUUAAUUUAAAAAGUGUAAUAUUUGUUAGCUAUUUGAAAUGGCUCAUUUUGGGUUUAGUCAAACAUAUAGAGAAAAAUGAAUAUUUGUAUAAAAAUUAGCAAGUUACUAAUGGAAUGUAAAUUGGUGAGCUACAGGAUAUAUAUUAUGCUAGAGAUGAUUAUUGUGUUCUGGUGACAUGUCAAGCCACUCCAGACAAAAAGUGGCCUUAAUAAAUCAGAAUUUCAUACAUAUGGAAUCCUUCUGAGUUUUACUUCAUUUGUUUAAACCUACAG